GGCACCUACGGGACGCAGCAGUGGGGAAUAUUGCACAAUGGGCGAAAGCCUGAUGCAGCAACGCCGCGUGAGCGAUGAAGGCCUUCGGGUCGUAAAGCUCUGUCCUCAAGGAAGAUAAUGACGGUACUUGGGGAGGAAGCCCCGGCUAACUACAUGCCAGCAGCCGCGGUAAUACGUAGGGGGCUAGCGUUAUCCGGAAUUACUGGGCGUAAAGGGUGCGGAGGUGGUUUCUUAAGUCAGAGGUGAAAGGCUACGGCUCAACCGUAGGAAGCCUUUGAAACUGGGGAACUUGAGUGCAGGAGAGG
rnacentral:rRNA from 1 species